UACGUAGGGUGCGAGCGUUAAUCGGAAUUACUGGGCGUAAAGCGUGCGCAGGCGGUUGUGCAAGACAGAUGUGAAAUCCCUGGGCUUAACCUAGGAAUUGCAUUUGUGACUGCACGGCUAGAGUGUGUCAGAGGGGGGUAGAAUUCCAUGUGUAGCAGUGAAAUGCGUAGAUAUGUGGAGGAAUACCGAUGGCGAAGGCAGCCCCCUGGGCCUGCACUGACGCUCAUGCACGAAAGCGUGGGGAGCAAACAGG
rnacentral:rRNA from 1 species